CCUACGGGGGGCAGCAGUGAGGAAUAUUGGUCAAUGGCCGGGAGACUGAACCAGCCAAGCCGCGUGAGGGAGGAAGGUACAGAGUAUCGUAAACCUCUUUUGUCGGGGAACAAAGGCGGGGCCGUGUCCCUGGAGGAGUGUACCUGAAGAAAAAGCAUCGGCGAACUCCGUGCCAGCAGCCGCGGUAAGACGGAGGCGGCGAGCGUUAUCCGGAUUUAUUGGGGUUAAAGGGGGCGUAGGUGGACUGUAAAGUCAGCGGUAAAAGCCCGGGGCUAAACCCCGGCCGGCCGUGGAAACUGGCAGUCUCGAGUUGGGGAGAGGUAUGCGGAAUGCGCGGUGUAGCGGUGAAAUGCGUAGAGAUCGCGCAGAACUCCGAUUGCGAAGGCAGCAUGCCGGCUCCGAACUGACGCUGAGGCACGAAAGCGUGGGUAUCGAACAGGAUUAGAGACCCUUGUAGUC
rnacentral:rRNA from 1 species